rnacentral:rRNA from 1 species
CGGUUGAUCCUACCGGACCCGACCGCUAUUUGGGUGAGGAUAAGCCAUGCGAGCUGAAUGGGAUACCUAAAUAUCCCAUAGCAAACUGCUCAGUAACACAUGAUCAACUUACCCUAUAGAGAAAAAUAACCUCGGGAAACUGAGGAUAAUUUUUCAUAGUUGAAUAGGCUUGGAAAAGUUAUUCAACCAAAUAGAUAAAAAAAAUGGUUUUUAUCUGCUAUAGGAUAGGAUCGUGUUCGAUUAUGGUUGUUGGUGAGGUAACGGCUCACCAAGCCGAUAAUCGAUAGGGGCCGUGAGAGCGGGAGCCCCGAGAUGGGUACUGAGACAACGACCCAGGCCUUACGAGGCGCAGCAGGCGCGGAACCUCCGCAAUACACGAAAGUGUGACGGGGUUACCCAAAGUGUUCAAUUUUGAACUGUGGUAGGUGAGUAAUGUUCCCUACUAGAAAGGAGAGGGCAAGGCUGGUGCCAGCCGCCGCGGUAAAACCAGCUCUUCAAGUGGUCGGGAUAAUUAUUGGGCUUAAAGUGUCCGUAGCCGGUUUAGUAAGUUCCUGGUAAAAUCGGGUAGCUUAACUAUCUGUAUGCUAGGAAUACUGCUAUACUAGAGGGCGGGAGAGGUCUGAGGUACUACAGGGGUAGGGGUGAAAUCUUAUAAUCCUUGUAGGACCACCAGUGGCGAAGGCGUCAGACUGGAACGCGCCUGACGGUGAGGGACGAAAGCCAGGGGAGCGAACCGGAUUAGAUACCCGGGUAGUCCUGGCCGUAAACGAUGCAUACUAGGUGAUGGUAUGGCCAUGAGCCAUAUCAGUGCCGUAGGGAAACCGUUAAGUGUGCCGCCUGGGAAGUACGGUCGCAAGGCUAAAACUUAAAGGAAUUGGCGGGGGAGCAC